GGUGGCUCAGUGGUAGAGUGCUUGCCUUGCAUGCAUGAGACCCUGGGUUCGAUUCCUCAGUACCA
rfam:Dipodomys ordii contig_60525, whole genome shotgun sequence.